CAGCAGCCGCCGCGGUAAAACGGAGGGUGCAAGCGUUAAUCGGAAUUACUGGGCGUAAAGCGCACGCAGGCGGUCUGACAAGUCAGAUGUGAAAUCCCCGGGCUUAACCUGGGAACUGCAUUUGAAACUGUCAGGCUGGAGUCUUGUAGAGGGGGGUGGAAUUCCAGGUGUAGCGGUGAAAUGCGUAGAGAUCUGGAGGAAUACCGGUGGCGAAGGCGGCCCCCUGGACAAAGACUGACGCUCAGGUGCGAAAGCGUGGGGAGCAAACAGGAUUAGAUACCCCAGUAGUCCCUGUCUCUUAUAC
rnacentral:rRNA from 1 species